rnacentral:rRNA from 1 species
GACGAACGCUGGCGGCGUGCCUAAUACAUGCAAGUCGAACGCUGAAGAGAGGAGCUUACUCUUCUUGGAUGAGUUGCGAACGGGUGAGUAACGCGUAGGUAACCUGCCUUGUAGCGGGGGAUAACUAUUGGAAACGAUAGCUAAUACCGCAUAACAAUGGAUGACACAUGUCAUUUAUUUGAAAGGGGCAAUUGCUCCACUACAAGAUGGACCUGCGUUGUAUUAGCUAGUAGGUGAGGUAAUGGCUCACCUAGGCGACGAUACAUAGCCGACCUGAGAGGGUGAUCGGCCACACUGGGAAUGAGACACGGCCCAGACUCCUACGGGAGGCAGCAGUAGGGAAUCUUCGGCAAUGGGGGCAACCCUGACCGAGCAACGCCGCGGGAGGGAAGAAGGGUUUCGGAUCGUAAAGCUCGGUUGUAAGUCAAGAACGGGUGUGAGAGUGGAAAGUUCACACUGUGACGGUAGCUUACCAGAAAGGGACGGCUAACUACGUG